UAGUUUCGGAGCCUAUUCAAUACAAACAA
rnacentral:sRNA from 1 species